rnacentral:rRNA from 1 species
AAUGAACGCUGGCGGCGUGCCUAAUACAUGCAAGUCGAGCGAACGGACGAGAAGCUUGCUUCUCUGAUGUUAGCGGCGGACGGGUGAGUAACACGUGGAUAACCUACCUAUAAGACUGGGAUAACUUCGGGAAACCGUAGCUAAUACCGGAUAAUAUUUUGAACCGCAUGGUUCAAAAGUGAAAGACGGUCUUGCUGUCACUUAUAGAUGGAUCCGCGCUGCAUUAGCUAGUUGGUAAGGUAACGGCUUACCAAGGCAACGAUGCAUAGCCGGCCUGAGAGGGUGAUUGGCCACACUGGAAGUGAGACACGGUCCAGACUCCGACGGGAGGAAGCAGUAGGGAAUCUUCCGCAAUGGGCGAAAGCCUGACGUAGCAACGCCGCGUGAGUGAUGAAGGUCUUCGGAUCGUAAAACUCUGUUAUUAGGGAAGAACAUAUGUGUAAGUAACUGUGCACAUCUUGACGGUACCUAAUCAGAAAGCCACGGCUAACUACGUG